rnacentral:rRNA from 1 species
UACGGGGGGGGCAAGCGUUGUUCGGAAUUACUGGGCGUAAAGGGCCAGUAGGCGGCCAACUAAGUCCGACGUGAAAUCCCCAGGCUCAACUUGGGAACUGCGUCGGAUACUGGAUGGCUUGAAUUCGGGAGAGGGAUGCAGAAUUCCAGGUGUAGCGGUGAAAUGCGUAGAUAUCUGGAGGAAUACCGGUGGCGAAGGCGGCAUCCUGGACCGAGAUUGACGCUGAACGGCGAAAGCUAGGGGAGCAAACGGG